rnacentral:rRNA from 1 species
UACGAAGGGGGCGAGCGUUGUUCGGAUUUACUGGGCGUAAAGGGCGCGCAGGCGGUCUUGAACGUCAGGCGUGAAAGCCCCGGGCUUAACCUGGGAAUUGCGCUUGAUACUCUGAGACUGGAGUACGGGAGAGGAGAGUGGAAUUCCCAGUGUAGAGGUGAAAUUCGUAGAUAUUGGGAAGAACACCAGGGGCGAAGGCGGCUCUCUGGACCGUAACUGACGCUGAGGCGCGAAAGCGUGGGGAGCAAACAGG